rnacentral:rRNA from 1 species
GACGAACGCUGGCGGCGUGCUUAACACAUGCAAGUCGAGCGGAGCGGCGAACGGGUGAGUAACGCGGGAGUAACUGCCCCCCUCCCUGGGAUAACAGUUGGAAACGGCUGCUAAUACCGGAUAGUGGGGGAUGAAUCGGGUCCUAUCAGCUUGUUGGUGGGGUAGUGGCCUACCAAGGCGGUGCCGGGUAGCCGGCCUGAGUGGGCGACCGGCCACAGUGGGCGGAGGUACGGCCCAGACUACUACGGGAGGGAGCAGUGGGGGAUAUUGGGCAAUGGGCGAAAGCCUGAUGCAGCGACGCCGCGUGGGGGAUGAAGGCUUUCGGGUUGUAAACGUCUUUCGCUAUCGAAAGGGUAGGUGGAGAAGAAGCGCCGGCUAACUACGUGCCAGCAGCCGCGGUAAUUC